UGCCAGCCGCCGCGGUAAUACAUAGGAUGCAAGCGUUAUCCGGAUUUACUGGGCGUAAAACGAGCGCGGGUGGGUUAGGAAGUCUGGUGUUAAAUGCAGUAGCUUAACUAUUGUAUGCAUUGGAAACUCUUAACCUAGAGUGUAGUAGAGAGUUAUGGAACUCCAUGUGGAGCGGUGGAAUGCGUAGAUAUAUGGAAGAACACUAGAGGCGAAGGCGAUAACUUGGACUAUUACUGACACUUAGGCUCGAAAGUGUGGGGAGCAAAUAGGAUUAGAUA
rnacentral:rRNA from 1 species